CUUUGUUAGGCCUGGCUACAUCAUGCCCACAGACGCAGGGUCUGGAGAACUGGGGACCGUUCCCAGGUCACCUUGGGCCCUCACCACUCCCAGAGGCUUUGCUGGGACCCUAGAUCAUCCGGCUUAAUGAACUGUCAGGAAACUCUACAAAGGGCUCAGCUGAUAGCUUGGAGUAAAUAGCUAAUCACAGUUUAAAUUGUGCCCACUUGCCUGCCUCCCCAAGUGUAUCUGCUUCAAGAAUCAAAAGAAUUGAGCCCUAAUGGUGGAAGGUGAUUGUCCUACUGCCUCUUCACUUUCUCUGUGUCCAGGAUGCCUGCUCUUAUCUCCCUGGUUCCCAGAUUUCUUCAUCCACUCCUCGGUUUUGACAUUUCUUCCAUGCUCUUCAGGUCUCCUGGAGUGCCCCUUCCGUGGCCCUGAAGCUCGCCGAGUGCCAGAG